GUACGUGCGCGUGUAAAUACGAGCGCCGCGCGGGGCCGGAGCCGGCUCCGUCCUGGGACCAACCCUGCGUGCCGGCCGUGAAGAACUGCGUUCCUGAGCCCUACCUACUUUUCCUCGGAGCGCCGGCACCGUGGAGCAGCGGCAUGCAACGCGGGCCGCUGUCGCCCAGUCCCAGUGACGGUCUUGGCGCGCUCGGAACUACGUAUCCCGGCGUGCACCGCGGACAGAGCAUGGCGGGACUACGAGUCCCAGCGUUCAACGCAGGCCUGCGUGCCAUUACCCCAUCACGCGCUGAGACCCAGCAUCCCGAGACUACGAGUUCCGGCAUGCACCGCGAGCCGCUCUCCUCCACUCCCAUCGCGCACUGUGAGUCGCAACGUCGCGGGACUACGGGUCCCGGCAUGCCUUGCGCGCCGCGGGCCCAGAGACGUGAGGCUGUCGGCGUCCUGGUGGCCCCGCCUCGUGUCCCCCCCCGGACCCCACGCCGCGGGAGCUUGGGGGUUGCGGUCUUCUCUUCCUCCGACCUCACCUUCGAUGCGGAAGCGCAGGGGCAGGUGCGCCGCCCUCGGCCCGCGCAGGCGGUGGGCCCGUCUGGGGCAAGGCGCCCGGAAGCGCCUGGUUGGUUCAGAAAAUCGGACCGCAGCGGGAGGGCGGGCACCGGCGCGUGGUCUCAGUGGCCCCAGGCGAACCCUGAUGAGCAGCAGCCGCAAGUGGCUUACUAAAGGAGCCACUUUCUACGUUUGUCUGGAAUUUACGUGAAUUAAGCUGGCGGGCGGGCGGCCAGGCCUGUAGUCUCAGCACUUUGGGAGGCUCAGCACUUCGGGAGGCUGUGGCGGGCGGAUCACCUGAGCCUGGGAGUUGGAGACCAGCCUGCGCAACGUAGCAAGACCCUAUCUCUAAAACAGAUUCAUUAAUACUUAGCCAGGCGCGGUGGCUGAGGUCCCAGCUACUCGGCAGGCCCAGGCUGGCCUGAGCCAGACCGCUCUGGACUGUUUUAAUUUUUUCAGCCUUAAUACCUGCCAGAAUUUUUUUUUUACUAUGUAUCUUUGUCCUUACGUAUAUAAAUUUUAUAUACAAUUGAGAUUAUCCUGUAUUUGCUUUUCCCCCCUCACUUUUAUAUGGUGACUUUUCUCAUGUUAGGCUGAAUACUAACAUUUUGGAAACUGUCGGCCUGAAAACGAGCGGAGACACAGUUUCUCUAAGUAGAGAGUUUAUUUGGGCCACACUUGAGCACAAAUUCAAGGCGCCCUGAAUGUGUACUCCGAUUAGCAGUUAACAGUGGAUUUUAAAGGCAAAAAAGGGGGCCAGGGAGUGGACUAAUAGGAACUUGUUUGUGAGGAAUUCUCACUGGUUUACAGAAAUAACAUUGAUUAGUGACUGACUAUAUGUUGUUCAGCUAUUGAGUGUGGGUAUAGUGUCCAUUGUGGCGUCAUUAGGUUAAUUUAUAGCUGUUUGUGGCGCUGUUGCCACCAGUAGCAGUUUAAAGAGGUGAACACAGGUCAAGGGGUAGUAGGGCGCGAUUGUCGCCUCAUUUGAAUGUCUCUCUCGGCCUGAUAAUUAAAAGAACUCGCGUUCCUCAGAUAAAAAUUCUCUUUUCUCAAAACCAUUUAAAUGUGGUAAUUAGAAUGGCCCAGAAGGGGCACAGUGCCUUUUAGCCCUCGCCAUUACUUGCUCUUAGGAGUGCAUUUUUUGUAGCUGUGGGUUUUUGACUAUCUCUGCUGCUUUCUCCAGCCCCUACCCUCGUGACUACAAGGGAAAACGUGCGGUGCUCACGAGAGAGCCUUUAUGGGAUUUUUAAAAAAUGGGGAUUGUGGGAAAAUGGCUCCAGCAGUCACAGUUUUUCAGUUUCUCACAAUCCCAUAAAAACAGAGCAACCAGGUAACAAAACUAAAGCAUGGGCAACAUUUACAGACCACUGGAUGGUGAAGAAUUCCCAUGAACCCCUGGUUCACACUGUAAGGACACACUACUCAGCAUGGGCAACAUUUACAGACUACUGGAUGGUGAAGAAUUCCCAUGAACCCCUGGUUCACACUGUAAGGACAGACUACUCAGCAUGGGCAACAUUUACAGACCACUGGAUGAUGAAGAAUUCCCAUGAACUCCUGGUUCCAACUGUAAGGACACACUACUCAGCUGUAGCCUGAAGCCGCCUCCUUACAUACUGUAAGUUUAGCCUAUAGGUUUCUCCAUACGUAGUGAACAGUCAUCUAAUUGGAUGUGUGGACACUGUAACCUACUCUUGAAUCAGUCACAGGCAGCAGCACUUCAAACUCUGUUUCAAUAAGCCAGACACGAGCUGUAGCCACCCUGCUGUUUGCAGGCCUCACCUCUGCCUUCUGUGCCUCACUCCCUUUUCUGUCCGUAAGUCUUUGGCCACACAGUGGCACUGGAGUCUCUCUGAGCCUAUUCUGGUUUGAGGGGUUCCCUGAUUCCUGAAUCAUUCUUUGCUCAAUUAAACUCUGUAAAAUUUAAUGUUUCUAAAGUUUUCCUUUGAACACUACCAACAGCGCAAGCCCAGGGUGAUGUCGGGGCCUGCGAGAGAGAAAGUAGGGGGGCCAAGGGCUCCACACUCACUGUGUGAACAGGUUUGUCUCAAAGGUUGUUGAUAUGUAUCAGCAUUCCCUAUUUGAACCUGUUCCCACCAGCAGUAUGUGAACUUUGGUUUGAAAAAAUAAUUCUGUAAAAUGGGAAGAACCGUGUGUUAUGUAUGGACUUUGAAAUACAGACCUCGAUGGAACUGACAGACUGAUCUAGGUAGACAGAUGUAGACAUCCCUAGGUGAUUACAACUCCAACCUGGAUAGAUGCCAUGUAGUCUUCCAAUUAGAGAUGCUAUACAGCCAAUGAAACUUAACCAUGUCUUUAAUAGGUGUGCCACCUUUUGUUAAAAUCAGUUAUCUUACAAGUAUCAUGAGAAAAAACAUUAGUAUCAACAGAUUGAAACAUUUAUUGGGAAGAAAGUGAGGCCACAGUCAGGAAAAAUAGCAUAAGCCACAACCUCUUAGUCAAGAAUCUUAGAAACAGCUGUGUUUCGUGUGUUUCAGAACUCUGAAUUGUUCUGAUUUUAGGAAAGUGACGUGUGCAUAUUCCACUUGGGGCCUGGGGCAACACCCUCAUCAAACUGAUAUUCCUGCAGCAAAAUACAAGCAGGACGAAAAGGAUCAUGGGUCGUCUCGUGCCAAAUCAGGGGAAGGCGCCCAGUCCCCAGGAGCACAAUCUGUCCUGGCCAUGCUUGUCCACCGAACUGCAGCUUACACUCUGCAGGUCCUGGAGCCCAAGAAAGACCCCGGGAGGGAGCUCCCGGCCAC
rnacentral:lncRNA from 1 species